CCUGUGAUGUUUUAAUACUUAAGUUCUUAAAUACUUCCUUUGCAUUUUUUUUUCACAAAGUCAUAAAUUUGGUUGUUGCACGCGCAAAGCUCAAAGUAUUUGUUUAGGAUUCAGACAAAUUCUCUGUGUUACAAAUGUGGUGUGCAUUGUUUGAUUUUAAAAAGUUUUGUCAUAUAAGUUGGAUAUCAAAAUUUGUAAUAUUCUAAAAACCGACUAUAUACUGGACUAGAUCUUUAAGAUUGGUGAUUGCUGAAAAAAAAUGCUUUGCUACCAGACUAUUCACCAUCUGUAGUGAAUUAAGGUUUUUAGGCAAUCAAAGAACUUGAAGACAGCAUCGAAGAAAGCAUCGAAAAUAUUUUCACCCCGGACAUUGUGCUAAAUGUCAACAGAAGAAUAGUACGCCCUGCUUAUGCUGUCCUAAUGGAGAAUAAGACGGAAACGCUAUCAGCUGUUCCUUUUUCAAAAUAUCGACAGCGAUUUGUUUUAUGUAAUUAAUUUCUUUAAAUUAUAAGCGUUUAUAUGUUAAAUGCUAAAAUAUAUGAAAAAUGUAUUUCUUUGUUGUAAUAGUUUUUUAAGGGAGUGUACACGGAUUUUUUAUGGUUUUUACAACAAAUAGAAACGUACAUCAAACAUCGAAAACCACAACGCGAAAUGAGCCGCGUCAUGAGAAAACCAACAUAGUGGCUUUGCGACCAGCAUGGAUCCAGACCAGCCUGUGCAUCCGCGCAGUCUGGUCAGGAUCCAUGCUGUUCGCUUUCAAAGCCUAUUGCAGUUAGAGAAACUGUCAUCAAUUUCACUGCCUGACUUCCGCUUUAGAAUUUCUUACAGUCAGGACGAGAGUAAUGACACAUAGUGGCACAGAACUUCUCAAAGACUUUAUAUUUAUAGGUUAUUAGAUUUGUAUCGGGAAAUAUGCACAAGUUCUGCAGCGGAAAUAUUGCGCGACUUUAGGAGCACAAUAUUAUUCCGCAAAAGAACGAGUGCAUAUUUAUUUCUCGAUGCAAAUCUAAUACUCUUUUUAUUACAUACAAAAACUACACUUACAAUUAUUAUAUAAGUGAUAUAAUUUGUUCUUCAGCCUGUGUAAAAUUGAAAAUAUUGUCGUUAAACUUUUAAACGCGACGGAAUGCAGGAAACUGACGUCACAAAUGACGUCACGCACCUGAUAUGAAAUUUGAACGUCAAUAUGGAAUAAUAUUGACGUUUCAGGUUCCACUGUAACUUAACGGAAUGUUUUAUUGAGUAUGUAAUAAUUAUAAUUACAUGUAUUUACAAAUGAAGCAUUUCUAUACUUUCGGAAAUAAAUGUAUUGAUGGUUAGUAAUAAGCAAUGUGUCACAAGUAACUCACUACCUUCUAGAAUGGAACAGAACAGAACGAAAACUACAAUUUAUUUACAAAGACACAAAUUACAAAAAUCGAGGAUUUUGUAAAUAAGAUAUGGACAAUAUUGUACACAGGUAAAUAUUACGGAUGACAUCAAACCUAUUGUUUUAUCAAACUGAAUAAGAAAUGUUACCUGAUUUGAAUGUGUUAAAUUGAUUGAAUAAAUACCUAACUACC